CCCUUAGAUGUUCUGGGCCGCACGCGCGCUACACUGAUGCGUUCAACAAGUUUCCUUGGCCGAGAGGCCUGGGCAAUCUUCUUAAUAUGUAUCGUGAUAGGGAUAGAUUAUUGCAAUUAUUAAUCUUGAACGAGGAAUUCCUAGUAAACGCAGAUCAUCAAUCUGCAUUGAUUACGUCCCUGCCCUUUGUACACACCGCCCGUCGCACCUACCGAUUGGAUGUUCCGGUGAAGCCUCGGGAUGAGGACUGGUGCCUUUAUUGGCAUGAGUUGUUCAGAACUUGUCUAAACCUUAUCAUCUAGAGGAAGGAGAAGUCGUAACA
rnacentral:rRNA from 1 species